GCUUAACCGAAGAAGUGCAUCGGAAACUGGGUGACUUGAGUGCAGAAGAGGACAGUGGAACUCCAUGUGUAGCGGUGGAAUGCGUAGAUAUAUGGAAGAACACCAGUGGCGAAGGCGGCUGUCUGGUCUGCAACUGACGCUGAGGCUCGAAAGCAUGGGUAGAGAACAGGAUUAGAUACCCUGGUAGUCCAUGCCGUAAACGAUGAGUGCUAGGUGUUGGAGGGUUUCCGCCCUUCAGUGCCGGAGCUAACGCAUUAAGCACUCCGCCUGGGGAGUACGACCGCAAGGUUGAAACUCAAAGGAAUUGACGGGGGCCCGCACAAGCGGUGGAGCAUGUGGUUUAAUUCGAAGCUACGCGAAGAACCUUACCAGGUCUUGACAUCUUGCACUAACCUAAGAGAUUAGGCGUUCCCUUCGGGGACGCAAUGACAGGUGGUGCAUGGUCGUCGUCAGCUCGUGUCGUGAGAUGUUGGGUUAAGUCCCGCAACGAGCGCAACCCUUGUUACUAGUUGCCAGCAUUCAGUUGGGCACUCUAGUGAGACUGCCGGUGACAAACCGGAGGAAGGUGGGGAUGACGUCAGAUCAUCAUGCCCCUUAUGACCUGGGCUACACACGUGCUACAAUGGUCGGUACAACG
rnacentral:rRNA from 1 species